CAGUCGCCGCGGUAAUACGUAGGAUGCGAGCGUUAAUCGGAAUUACUGGGCGUAAGGCGUGCGCAGGCGGUUGUGUAAGACAGGUGUGAAAUCCCCGGGCUUAACCUGGGAACUGCGCUUGUGACUGCGCAGCUAGAGUAUGGCAGAGGGGGGUGGAAUUCCACGUGUAGCAGUGAAAUGCGUAGAGAUGUGGAGGAACACCGAUGGCGAAGGCAGCCCCCUGGGCCAAUACUGACGCUCAUGCACGAAAGCGUGGGGAGCAGACAGGAUUAGAUACCCCGGUAGUCCCUGUCUCUUAUAC
rnacentral:rRNA from 1 species